UGUAACUCUAGCCAUGCAGUCGACGGCAGCACGGACUUCGGUCUGGUGGCGAGUGGCGAACGGGUGAGUAAUGUAUCGGAACGUGCCCAGUAGCGGGGGAUAACUACGCGAAAGCGUAGCUAAUACCGCAUACGCCCUACGGGGGAAAGCAGGGGAUCUUCGGACCUUGCACUAUUGGAGCGGCCGAUAUCGGAUUAGCUAGUUGGUGGGGUAACGGCCUACCAAGGCGACGAUCCGUAGCUGGUUUGAGAGGACGACCAGCCACACUGGGACUGAGACACGGCCCAGACUCCUACGGGAGGCAGCAGUGGGGAAUUUUGGACAAUGGGGGAAACCCUGAUCCAGCCAUCCCGCGUGUGCGAUGAAGGCCUUCGGGUUGUAAAGCACUUUUGGCAGGAAAGAAACGUCGCGGGCUAAUACCUCGCGAAACUGACGGUACCUGCAGAAUAAGCACCGGCUAACUACGUGCCAGCAGCCGCGGUAAUACGUAGGGUGCAAGCGUUAAUCGGAAUUACUGGGCGUAAAGCGUGCGCAGGCGGUUCGGAAAGAAAGAUGUGAAAUCCCAGAGCUU
rnacentral:rRNA from 1 species